rnacentral:lncRNA from 1 species
AGUCUAAAAAUAUCUUAAAUUUAUGGAAAUAACGAUUUCCUCAUAUACUCGUAGAAAAGAAGCUCAUAAACCUUAGGACUCUAUAACGAAAAAUAAAAAACCUCUACACUAUCUCCAAUGGCGGCAGACAUAGAAGAGGAGGCAUUUACAGAGAGGAAAACAAUGCGGAAAACUGCUGGAGAUCGACUAAAAAAAGCUUCUCGUUGAUCACAGAGUAGAAGUAAUGUCGUUUAAUUCAAGCCUAUUUCUUUUGUUUUUUUUUUAAAAUUUAAAAUUUGAUAUAUAAAUAAGCAGUCAGUGGCGAACCAGAACAUAUUUUAAGGGGGUUAUUGCCGCUUGAAGAGCUUCUUUCGGUUGUGCGAGUGAGAGCAGACAACUGUAUCCUGCGUGUUUUAAGCUUCUUUCAAUUGAAAAGUGAGAGCUUAAAUAGCUUUAAACAAGGUUUUCUUAAUUUAAGGUAUUAAACCAUCUUAAUUUUUAUAAUUAAAAAUAAAAUUCAUUAUUU